rnacentral:rRNA from 1 species
GACGAACGCUGGCGGCAAGCUUAACACAUGCAAGUCGAACGCCGUAGCAAUACGGAGUGGCAGACGGGUGAGUAACACGUGGGAACGUGCCUUUCGGUUCGGAACAACUGAGGGAAACUUCAGCUAAUACCGUAUGUGCCCGAGAGGGGAAAGAUUUAUCGCCUUAGGAGCGGCCCGCGUCUGAUUAGCUAGUUGGUGGGGUAAAGGCCCACCAAGGCUUCGAUCAGUAGCUGGUCUGAGAGGAUGGCCAGCCACAUUGGGACUGAGACACGGCCCAAACUCCUACGGGAGGCAGCAGUGGGGAAUCUUGCGCAAUGGGCGAAAGCCUGACGCAGCCAUGCCGCGUGGAUGAUGAAGGUCUUAGGAUUGUAAAAUCCUUUCAGCGGGGACGAUAAUGACGGUACCCGCAGAAGAAGCCCCGGCUAACUUCGUGCCAGCCGCCGCAGUAAAAC